GGGCCCGCACAAGCGGUGGAGUAUGUGGUUUAAUUCGAUGCAACGCGAAGAACCUUACCAGGGUUUGACAUCCUGCGAAUCUCUUGGAAACAGGAGAGUGCCUUCGGGAGCGCAGUGACAGGUGGUGCAUGGCUGUCGUCAGCUCGUGUCGUGAGAUGUUGGGUUAAGUCCCGCAACGAGCGCAACCCACGUCUUUAGUUGCCAGCAUUUAGUUGGGCACUCUAGAGAGACCGCCGGUGAUAAACCGGAGGAAGGUGUGGAUGACGUCAAGUCAUCAUGCCCCUUACAUCCUGGGCUACACACGUACUACAAUGCUACGGACAAAAGAGCAGCAAGUUCGCGAGGACAAAG
rnacentral:rRNA from 1 species